GAAAGAGAAAGAGAAAGAUGGUGGGAAAAAAGAAUCGGGUGGAGAGAUUCCUCCGAUCUCUGAGUUAAAUGUUCGGUUGUCUCACUUUCUAGUUGAAAAGUUUGUUCUCUUCCUUUUUUUCCUCCCUAAAAAUUCUGUUUUUCCAA
rnacentral:ribozyme from 13 species